AAGGCAUUAGUAAAACAUUACCCUACCUUGUCAAGGUAGAACUGCCGGUUAAACUCCGGCAUGCUUUA
rnacentral:tRNA from 1 species